CCAACAGGGAUUGCCUCAGUAACGGCGAGUGAAGCGGCAACAGCUCAAAUUUGAAAUCUGGCCCCCCCCGGGGUCCGAGUUGUAAUUUGUAGAGGGUGUUUCGGGCGCGGCGCGGGUCUAAGUUCCUUGGAACAGGACGUCAGAGAGGGUGAGAAUCCCGUACGCGACCCGCAACCGAGCCCGUGUGAAACCCCUUCGACGAGUCGAGUUGUUUGGGAAUGCAGCUCAAAAUGGGUGGUAAAUUUCAUCUAAAGCUAAAUACCGGCCAGAGACCGAUAGCGCACAAGUAGAGUGAUCGAAAGAUGAAAAGCACUUUGGAAAGAGAGUCAAACAGUACGUGAAAUUGUUGAAAGGGAAGCGCUUGCGGCCAGACCUGCCCCCGGGCGAUCAGCCGCUAUUCGUAGCGGUGCACUCGCCCGGGACCAGGCCAGCAUCGGUUCAGGCGGCGGGAGAAAGGGCCCGGGAACGUAGCUCCCCCCGGGGAGUCUUAUAGCCCGGGUCGCCAUGCCGCCCGCCCGGACCGAGGACCGCGCUCCGGCUAGGAUGCUGGCGUAAUGGCCGUAAGCGACCCGUCUUGAAACACGGACCAAGGAGUCUAACAUCCAUGCGAGUGUUUGGGUGUGAAACCCACGCGCGGAAUGAAAGUGAACGGAGGUGGGACCCCGCGAGGGCGCACCAUCGACCGAUCCAGAAGUCUUCGGAUGGAUUUGAGUACGAGCAUGGCUGUUGGGACCCGAAAGAUGGUGAACUAUGCGUGGAUAGGGUGAAGCCAGAGGAAACUCUGGUGGAGGCUCGCAGCGGUUCUGACGUGCAAAUCGAUCGUCAAAUCUGCGCAUAGGGGCGAAAGACUAAUCGAACCAUCUAGUAGCUGGUUACCGCC
rnacentral:rRNA from 1 species